GAUGAACGCUGGCGGCGUGCCUAAUACAUGCAAGUCGAGCGAACGGACGAGAAGCUUGCUUCUCUGAUGUUAGCGGCGGACGGGUGAGUAACACGUGGAUAACCUACCUAUAAGACUGGGAUAACUUCGGGAAACCGUAGCUAAUACCGGAUAAUAUUUUGAACCGCAUGGUUCAAAAGUGAAAGACGGUCUUGCUGUCACUUAUAGAUGGAUCCGCGCUGCAUUAGCUAGUUGGUAAGGUAACGGCUUACCAAGGCAACGAUGCAUAGCCGACCUGAGAGGGUGAUCGGCCACACUGGAACUGAGACACGGUCCAGACUCCUACGGGAGGCAGCAGUAGGGAAUCUUCCGCAAUGGGCGAAAGCCUGACGGAGCAACGCCGCGUGAGUGAUGAAGGUCUUCGGAUCGUAAAACUCUGUUAUUAGGGAAGAACAUAUGUGUAAGUAACUGUGCACAUCUUGACGGUACCUAAUCAGAAAGCCACGGCUAACUACGUGCCAGCAGCCGCGGUAAUACGUAGGUGGCGAGCGUUAUCCGGAAUUUAUGGGCGUAAAGCGCGCGUAGGCGGUUUUUUAGUCUGAUGUGAAAGCCCACGGCUCAACCGUGGAGGGUCAUUGGAAACUGGAAAACUUGAGUGCAGAAGAGGAAAGUGGAAUUCCAUGUGUAGCGGUGAAAUGCGCAGAGAUAUGGAGGAACACCAGUGGCGAAGGCGACUUUCUGGUCUGUAACUGACGCUGAUGUGCGAAAGCGUGGGGAUCAAACAGGAUUAGAUACCCUGGUAGUCCACGCCGUAAACGAUGAGUGCUAAGUGUUAGGGGGUUUCCGCCCCUUAGUGCUGCAGCUAACGCAUUAAGCACUCCGCCUGGGGAGUACGACCGCAAGGUUGAAACUCAAAGGAAUUGACGGGGACCCGCACAAGCGGUGGAGCAUGUGGUUUAAUUCGAAGCAACGCGAAGAACCUUACCAAAUCUUGACAUCCUUUGACAACUCUAGAGAUAGAGCCUUCCCCUUCGGGGGACAAAGUGACAGGUGGUGCAUGGUUGUCGUCAGCUCGUGUCGUGAGAUGUUGGGUUAAGUCCCGCAACGAGCGCAACCCUUAAGCUUAGUUGCCAUCAUUAAGUUGGGCACUCUAAGUUGACUGCCGGUGACAAACCGGAGGAAGGUGGGGAUGACGUCAAAUCAUCAUGCCCCUUAUGAUUUGGGCUACACACGUGCUACAAUGGACAAUACAAAGGGCAGCGAAACCGCGAGGUCAAGCAAAUCCCAUAAAGUUGUUCUCAGUUCGGAUUGUAGUCUGCAACUCGACUACAUGAAGCUGGAAUCGCUAGUAAUCGUAGAUCAGCAUGCUACGGUGAAUACGUUCCCGGGUCU
rnacentral:rRNA from 1 species